UCUUCAAACAGAUUCACUCCCGAAACCCUUCAUCAGUGUUAGUGAUGACCAGCUCAUCAUAUCAUGUGAAAUACCACUUUCAGUCAGAUCUGAUUUCAACUGUAGUCUCUACACUGAGGAUGAUGUUCUUCUGUAUCAACGUGUCUCUCUGUGGAGUCAGUCUGGAAAGAAUCUUUGUAUGUUUUAUGUAAAUCGUAGUGAACUCUUGACACGAUCAGUGAACAGCAGACAGCUGAUCUGUGUUUAUUCACGCAAGACUGAACCUGAGAUCAAAUCACCACACAGUGACACAUACACCUUCAGAGACAUAAGCACCGUCAGAGACACAAUCACCAUCAGAGACACAAUCACCAUCAGAGCUUCAACACCAACCACCACUAAACAUACGACUACAACAACAGCCAUGACAACCUAUGUCCAAUCCAAGACAAGCCUGCCAACCAGCAAAGCAACGGAAACCCAGAGUAAGUUCAACCACUCUUCCUCAAUGAGAAAAGUCACUGUGUAGAAUGAAUAUGUUGGAUUCAAGUCAUAUUAAAAUAUACAGCUGGGAUGCAGUUUCAAAGUUUAUUGGUACAUGAUGCAGUGUCGGCCCUACCUAAUAAGCGAUAUAAGCGCCUGCAUAGGCCCCCCGUGGCCACCAGGGGGCCCCGUGUCAGGAGUUCAGACAGAAACCACGGGAGUGAGGCGAGAUGAUGGUGGAGAUGGCAACAGCAGAGCUGAGCUGGAGCGUUCUCUGAAGCUGUACUUCCAUAGGAAUUAAUUAAAAACGUUCGUGGACACGCACUGUAAGUAUCUGACAAAUUUUGUAGAAUGCAAUGCGCGCUCAGCACCUCCAGUCACGAUUGCGAAAUCGAAAGCGAAACGAAAAAGGAUGCGUGCGCGCAUUCAAACGCAAUAUCAAUAAAAUCAUACAAACGAUAAGCCAGUUGAGUUUGUGGCAAACUAUUUUACAGUGCUUGAGUAUUGUCUGUUAUUGCAUAUAAUAAUUCAUACUCAGAAAGCAGAACUGAGAUGGUAUUUAUUGCAAUAUUAGUUCAAACGUUUCAAAUGCACCUGCAGACUAUUUUUCCAGGCAUGUUUUUCAUCAGUGAAGAUUUCUUAAAAUAGUGUAAAAAUUUAGUUUAGUCUCAUUCUUGUGAACCCUAUCUCUUGUCUCGACUCAGAUUUUUGCCUUCACUUUGAUGUUGCUUAAAUCUGUUUCAACGUGUUUA